GUGAGGAAUAUUGGUCAAUGGACGAGAGUCUGAACCAGCCAAGUCGCGUGAAGGAAGACGGUUCUAUGAAUUGUAAACUUCUUUUGUGCAGGAAUAUAGUGGGUUACGUGUAACCUUUUGUAUGUACUGUACGAAUAAGGAUCGGCUAACUCCGUGCCAGCAGCCGCGGUAAUACGGAGGAUCCGAGCGUUAUCCGGAUUUAUUGGGUUUAAAGGGUGCGUAGGUGGAUUGAUAAGUCAGCGGUGAAAGUUUGCAGCUUAACUGUAAAAUUGCCGUUGAAACUGUCGGUCUUGAGUGCAAAUGAGGUAGGCGGAAUGUGUUGUGUAGCGGUGAAAUGCUUAGAUAUAACACAGAACUCCGAUUGCGAAGGCAGCUUACUGGGAUGCAACUGACACUGAUGCACGAAAGCGUGGGUAUCAAACAGGAUUAGAUACCCGUGUAGUCC
rnacentral:rRNA from 1 species